rnacentral:tRNA from 1 species
GCCUGGUUGGCUCAGUCGGUUGAGCAUCUGACUUUGGCUCAGGUUGUGAUCUCAUACUCCAUGAGUUCGAGCCCCACAUCAGGCU